AAAAUACUCCCUUCGUCUGGAAUUACUUGUCAUCAAAAUGGAUGUGUCUAGAACUAAAAUACAUCUAGAUACAUCCAUUUCAAUGACAAGUAUUUUCGUACGGAGGGAGUAGUAG
rnacentral:pre_miRNA from 1 species